UUUUCUGUGGCCUAGUGGUUGGAGCGCCGGCCUUGAAUACAGGAGGUCGAUGGUUCAAACCACGGCCAAAUAAA